GACGAACGCUGGCGGCGUGCUUAACACAUGCAAGUCGAACGGAAAGGCCCUGCUUUUGUGGGGUGCUCGAGUGGCGAACGGGUGAGUAACACGUGAGUAACCUGCCCUUGACUUUGGGAUAACUUCAGGAAACUGGGGCUAAUACCGGAUAGGAGCUCCUGCUGCAUGGUGGGGGUUGGAAAGUUUCGGCGGUUGGGGAUGGACUCGCGGCUUAUCAGCUUGUUGGUGGGGUAGUGGCUUACCAAGGCUUUGACGGGUAGCCGGCCUGAGAGGGUGACCGGCCACAUUGAGACUGAGAUACGGCCCAGACUCCAACGGGAGGCAGCAGUGGGGAAUAUUGCACAAUGGGAGGAAGCCUGAUGCAGCAACGCCGCGUGCGGGAUGACGGCCUUCGGGUUGUAAACCGCUUUCGCCUGUGACGAAGCGUGAGUGACGGUAAUGGGUAAAGAAGCACCGGCUAACUACGUG
rnacentral:rRNA from 1 species